CGUAGGGUGCAAGCGUUAUCCGGAAUUAUUGGGCGUAAAGAGCUCGUAGGCGGUUUGUCGCGUCUGCUGUGAAACCCCGAGGCUCAACCUCGGGCCUGCAGUGGGUACGGGCAGACUAGAGUGCGGUAGGGGAGAUUGGAAUUCCUGGUGUAGCGGUGGAAUGCGCAGAUAUCAGGAGGAACACCGAUGGCGAAGGCAGAUCUCUGGGCCGUAACUGACGCUGAGGAGCGAAAGGGUGGGGAGCAAACAGGCUUAGAUACCCUGGUAGUCCACCCCGUAAACGUUGGGAACUAGUUGUGGGGUCCAUUCCACGGAUUCCGUGACGCAGCUAACGCAUUAAGUUCCCCGCCUGGGGAGUACGGCCGCAAGGCUA
rnacentral:rRNA from 1 species